rnacentral:rRNA from 1 species
GCAAGUCGAACGCGAAAGCACUUCGGUGCAAGUAGAGUGGCGAAAGGGCGAGGAAUAAGUACCUAACGUGCCUUCAGGUAAGGGAUAGCUCAUGGAAACGUGUGGUAAUACCUUAUAAUCUCAUUAUCUCGUAUGAAGUUUUGAGCAAAGGCUUGCUGCCUGAAGAUCGGGGUACUUCCUAUCAGCUUGUUGGUGAGGUAACGGCUCACCAAGGCGAAGACGGGUAGCGGGUGUGAGAGCAUGACC